UACGUGAAACUGAGCUGGUAAAAGCGGACAGACUCGAAAAGUGCGAACAGAGCUGAUUCACGCCGACCCUGUAGGCCACUGUGGUGUAGAGAUACGUUUCCCUCGGGAAUAGGCACUCUGCGCUGCUUUGCGUCGAAAGGGGAGGCUGCACUUCUACUUAGUAGCACGUCKCGGCUCGYUGAGUCGUCGUUCUAAGGCCCGCGAUGGAGCCCUCGCCUUGUGCGUUGMCUCGUGGYGUCCCGAUCGGCGCUCGNCGGUGCUUGUACGGACGGAACCUCCAAUGAGAGUCUGUGUCCCGUYAAAMGGGGGCAAACGGACUUGGUUCCGUCGGUCCGCGGCGCUUUUGCUUUCGACAUCUGUCCGUCCCGUCUUGAAACACGGACCAAGGAGUCUAACAUGUGCGCGAGUCAUUGGGCUCGCGAAACCUAAAGAAGAAAUGAAAGUAAACGGCUGGUGCAAACCGGUUGAGGGGUGAUGGUCGCGCUUCCAUGCC
rnacentral:rRNA from 1 species